UUACAUAUGCAUAUAGUGUUAAUUCUAUAAAAAUGUAGUAUCAACUCACAAAGUUAUCAGGUUAAAUUAGCUUUAUCAAUGAAUAAAAAUGUUGUUGCAUGACCAAUGUCAUACCGUGGUCAAGCCACGGUAUCCAGUAAAAAUUAUUUUGCUGAGUAUCGUAGUAAAAGUUAAGAUAUGAUGUUAAGACUUUUUUUGAGUCGUGCAAUAACAUUAACAGCAAACUAUAAUACAAGUCUAUCUUUUUAAAAGUUUGUAUUGCUAGCUUGGU
rnacentral:misc_RNA from 1 species